ACGUUAGUUGCUAACGCGUGAAGGCGAGCACUCUAGACGAACUGCCGUUGCAAAACGGAGGAAGGUGGGGAUGACGUCAAAUCAUCAUGCCCCUUAUGUUCUGGGCUACACACGUGCUACAAUGGCCGGUACAGACGGACGCAAAGCCGCGAGGUGGAGCAAAUCCUAAAAAGCCGGUCUCAGUUCGGAUUGCAGGCUGCAAUUCGCCUGCAUGAAGUCGGAAUCGCUAGUAAUCGCAGGUCAGCAUACUGCGGUCGAAUACGUUCCGGCCUU
rnacentral:rRNA from 1 species